rnacentral:sRNA from 1 species
GUUAGGAUCAUUGCUUUGGUUUGGGUAAAUGAAGGACCUAGUUCGCCAUUUCAAUUCUUGGUACCUUCCUCUAUUCAUAGGUUCUUGAAGAGAGUGGUGAAAAGAGACACUUCGUUGAGAAAGCUCUUAAUAAGGGGAGUUGGAUUUUAUUUGUAAGGCUUGAAGGAAGUAGGAAGUGUAGCUACUCUAGUGGUGAGUAAUUGUUGGUAAACUACAUGUGAGAGUUACAAAUCAGAUCUUCAGAC